rnacentral:rRNA from 1 species
UACAGAGGGUGCGAGCGUUGUUCGGAAUUAUUGGGCGUAAAGGGUGCGUAGGUGGGUUGGUAAGUCAGUGGUGAAAUCCCCGAGCUUAACUUGGGAACUGCCAUUGAUACUAUCAAUCUUGAAUAUUGUGGAGGUUAGCGGAAUAUGUCAUGUAGCGGUGAAAUGCUUAGAUAUGACAUAGAAUACCAAUUGCGAAGGCAGCUGGCUACACGAAUAUUGACACUCAGGCACGAAAGCGUGGGGAUCAAACAGG